AGCGAACGCUGGCGGCAGGCCUAACACAUGCAAGUCGAACGAACUCUUCGGAGUUAGUGGCGGACGGGUGAGUAACACGUGGGAACGUGCCUUUAGGUUCGGAAUAACUCAGGGAAACUUGUGCUAAUACUGAAUGUGCCCUUCGGGGGAAAGAUUUAUCGCCUUUAGAGCGGCCCGCGUCUGAUUAGCUAGUUGGUGAGGUAAAGGCUCACCAAGGCGACGAUCAGUAGCUGGUCUGAGAGGAUGAUCAGCCACAUUGGGACUGAGACACGGCCAAACUCCUACGGGAGGCAGCAGUGGGGAAUCUUGCGCAAUGGGCGAAAGCCUGACGCAGCCAUGCCGCGUGAAUGAUGAAGGUCUUAGGAUUGUAAAAUUCUUUCACCGGGGACGAUAAUGACGGUACCCGGAGAAGAAGCCCCGGCUAACUUCGUGCCAGCCGCCGCAGUAA
rnacentral:rRNA from 1 species